AGUCUUGGCCGCCAGUGGGCUCCCGGGCUUCGGCCGCGAAGCCCCCUUCUUUUCCUCCUCUCUCCUCAUCUUCAACGGUUACCUCAAGUUCAUGCAGCACCUCAGGGGUUCAGCCCUCGAUGCCAACAGACGACUAUUCGGAGGAGUCUGACACGGAUCUCAGCCAAAAGUCCGACGGACCGGCGAGCCCGGUGGAGGGUCCCAAAGACCCCAGCUGCCCCAAGGACAGUGGUCUGACCAGUGUAGGAACGGACACCUUCAGAUUGUAAGCUUUGAAGAUGAACAAUUACAAAUGAAUUUAAAUAAAAAAAGAUUAAUAACAAACCAAUUUCAAAACUAGACUAACUGCAAUUCCAAAGCUUCUAACCAAAAAAACUAAAACAAAAACACAAAAAAAACAAAAAGAAAAAAAAGGAAAAAAAGAAAAAAAAAGAAAAAGCGUGGGUUGUUUUCCCAUAUACCUAUCUAUGCCGGUGAUUUUACAUUCUUGUCUCUCUUUUUUUUCUUCUUCUUCUUCUUUUAAUAUUAAAAAAAAAGAAAACACGAACCCUAACCCUGUUAAAUUGUGUCCUUUUAAAGGUACUAUUGGUCUGGGAAGUUGAAGUCCGCAGGGCCUGCCUAUUGUUGUUGGAGCUUAAACCCCUUGUAUAUUUGCCCCUUUUGAGAACUGCCCCACGUUGAUAGCACAGAGGAGCCCGGCAUGCACUGUAUGGGAAAGCACUCCACCUUGUUACAGUUUUAAAUUUCUUGCUAUCUUAGCACUCAGAUACCAAUGGCUUGCUAAAAAGAAAAAGAAGAAAUGUAAUGUCUUUUUAUUCUCAGGUCAAUCGGUCACCCUUCGUUCUGUUUUCAGAAUCAUUGUUUUAUGUUUCUUCUUUUCUUUUGUUCCAGAAAAAAAGAUUUUGUUUUGUUUUAUUUGUUAAUUUAAAAAAAAAAAAUGGGCAGAAAGUAUUCAAGAGAAACAAUGUGAAGUGCUUUAGCUUUCUGGGGAUUUUUAAGAAUAGCUUUUCUGCUGAAGCCAAUUUCCAGGGGAGAAGUUACGCGCUCCCACUUUCAG
rnacentral:lncRNA from 1 species